rnacentral:rRNA from 1 species
GACGAACGCUGGCGGCGUGCUUAACACAUGCAAGUCGAACGGAAAGGCCCUGCUUGCAGGGUGCUCGAGUGGCGAACGGGUGAGUAACACGUGGGUGAUCUGCCCCUUACUUUGGGAUAAGCCUGGGAAACUGGGUCUAAUACUGGAUAGGACCAUGCUGUAGGUGGUGUGGUGGAAAGAUUAGUUUCGGUAAGGGAUGAGCUCGCGGCCUAUCAGCUUGUUGGUGGGGUAAUGGCCUACCAAGGCGUCGACGGGUAGCCGGCCUGAGAGGGUGGACGGCCACAUUGGGACUGAGAUACGGCCCAGACUCCUACGGGAGGCAGCAGUGGGGAAUAUUGCACAAUGGGCGCAAGCCUGAUGCAGCGACGCCGCGUGGGGGAUGACGGCCUUCGGGUUGUAAACUCCUUUCAGCCAUGACGAAGCCCUUGUGGUGACGGUAGUGGUAGAAGAAGCACCGGCGAACUACGU